AGUAACACCUCUGGCCCCUCCCUCCUCCCUGAAUAAUCUGUGUUCUCUCUCAUAGCUAGCCAGAUAUACUAAAAGCACAGGACUAGGCAUGAAGAUGGAGGGAGGAACCCAGAUUAGUUAUUGCUUCCCAUUUGCUUGAUAUUGGCCUGGUUAGUUAUCUUCUAACCCCGUUUCUUCACCGCUAAACUAGGAGAGAAGACUUGAAAUGUUCCCAGCACUUAGAAAUGAGAAAUAUUCGAGGUGAUGGAUACCCCAGUCAAGUACCUCUUGACUUGCUACUGGUACCUGGAAGAGAUGUAACACCUGACCAUGGGACAUCAAGUGACUGUGUGAAUCAAACUGCCCAUCAUGAAUUGUUGUUAUUUGACUCAUCAAACUGUACAACUGGAUGAACACAGGAGCAGUGCACUACAUAUGGGACUGGAACCAUGAAUGAGCAGGUGACUCAGACUCCUAUAGUACCUGCCUCUACUCCUUCAGCACUUCUCCCUCAACCCACAUAAACUGUCAUCAUAAUGAGUUCCCUCUGACCAGUUAAUGGAAGAGAAAAAAGUAUGGAUGUUAUGGAUAUCCUAACAUAUUUCUGGCCAUUGGACCCCUAGAAACCUGUGGCAAGUCCUGGAAGUUUUUCAAGGUUCAUCUUGCACCUUCUAGCAUGCAUAUGUCGUACCAAAGCAUGUAGAAUGCUGCCUACUUCUGCUCUUCAGUUUCAUUUAAUAUAAUUUCAUUACUCUGAUAAAUCAGUGUGAUGUUCUAUGGAAUAACAAAAGACCAUCAAGGUCCCUUCAUACCAUAUAGAGAACAGGAGAGUUGAUGUAGCCUGAGACAAGACAGUAAGGACUUACUGUUAUCCCUCCUAUUUAAACGUAGUCUGUUUCUGAUUCUCCUUAGAAUGGGGGUGGGGGGACAUUUCCAGAUCAAUAUCAGAUCAGUAUCAUGUCAACAUGGGUAUUAAUUUCUUCCGAAGAAGAUACCACACCUAGAACAGCAACCAUAAUUGGCAUCCCUACCUAAUUAAAGUUUGCAGUCCACUGUCAUUCUUCAAAAAAAAAAAAA
rnacentral:lncRNA from 1 species